UCCCGGUUCACCUGGGCCCUUUAGUCCCGGUUGGUGCCACGAACCGGGACUAAAGGGUGCGAUGCCCAUUAGUACCGGUUGGUGGCACCAACCGGGACUAAAGGUUAGACCUUUAGUCCCGGUUGGUGCCACCAACCGGUACUAAUGGGCUUUGAGGCAUUAGUACCGGUUCAUGGCACGAACCGGUACUAAAGGGCCCAUUUUCAAACUCUACCCCCCCCCGACCGCCUUUUCAGUUUUAGAAAAAACAAAAGAAAAUGAUGGAAAUGUCAAAAAAAUAAAAUAAAAUAAGUUUCCCAUGUGAUAUAUGGUCUAGUUGUUGGGAAAAUUAACAAAUAUGAAUUUCGACUUUAUUUGCAAAAUCUCUCUGGAAUUUCUUAAAAUGGGCAUAACUUUUGCGUACGAACUCGGAUGAAAAAGUUU
rnacentral:lncRNA from 1 species